UACGUAGGUGGCAAGCGUUGUCCGGAUUCAUUGGGCGUAAAGAGCUCGUAGGCGGCCAUUCAAGUCGAAUGUGAAAUCUCGAGGCUCAACCUCGAGCCUGCAUUCGAUACUGGGCGGCUAGAGUCUGGUAGGGGGAUCUGGAAUUCCUGGUGUAGCGGUGGAAUGCGCAGAUAUCAGGAGGAACACCGGUGGCGAAGGCGGGAUCCUGGGCCAGUACUGACGCUGAGGAGCGAAAGCGUGGGGAGCAAACAGG
rnacentral:rRNA from 1 species